CACGUAGGGCGCGAGCGUUGUCCGGAAUUAUUGGGCGUAAAGAGCUCGUAGGCGGCCUGUUGCGUCCGCUGUGAAAGCCCGGGGCUUAACCCCGGGUCGCAGUGGAUACGGGCAGGCUAGAGGUAGGUAGGGGAGAAUGGAAUUCCCGGUGUAGCGGUGAAAUGCGCAGAUAUCGGGAGGAACACCGGUGGCGAAGGCGGGUCUCUGGGCCGAAACUGACGCUGAGGAGCGAAAGCGUGGGGAGCAAACAGG
rnacentral:rRNA from 1 species